GCCGGCGUAGCUCAAAGGUAGAGCAUCCGAUUUGUAAUCGGAAGGUUGCGGGUUCGAGUCCCAUCGCCGGCUCCA
rnacentral:tRNA from 1 species